rnacentral:piRNA from 1 species
UAGGCAUUACCCUCUACAUGCCCCC